GUUAAACUGAAAAUCAGGUUCAUAACUUUUGAAGCAAUAAUUUAUUACAUUACCUCCUGUACUUGCUCAAAAGUACUUUGUCUUAAGCUUUGCUUUGGGUGCUCCAUGCGUUGUAGCACUUGUCCUCAGAACUGAAUGGAGGAUAUCUGCAUAAGAUUUUCCCAAUACUCAAUUCAAUAAUCAGAGAUGGAAGUUUCAAGAAUUAAAUACUCAAAUGAAGUGAUUAAAAAUUUAUACUUUUUGAAUGGGCCUGG
rnacentral:sRNA from 1 species